rnacentral:lncRNA from 1 species
UGUUUGAUACUGGUAAUAAUAGAAAACAUUAUUAUACAUUCAAAAAUGUUUGUUCCAUGUCAUACACCAAGCCAGUGUGUGUGUGUGUAGAAACAUGCACACAAUUGCACAUUACUUUAUCGAUACUAGAAGUAAGAAGUAAGUCGAUAUACUAGAAGUAAGUCGAUAGGUAAAAGAUCUUCUUCCAAACUCCAAAAACCGUAGAGAGACAGACCAUUAAAAUCACCACAUUCAUUCA